UGCGUAACACGUAUGGAACUUGCCCUGUACUGGGAGAUAGCCCGGAGAAAUCCGGAUUAAUAUCCCAUAAUAAGUUGGGUGGCAUCACCCGACUUUGAAAGCUCCGGCGGUACAGGAUGGCCAUGCGCACGAUUAGCUAGUUGGUGAGGUAACGGCUCACCAAGGCUACGAUCGUUAGGGGGCCUGAGAGGGUUAUCCCCCACACUGGUACUGAGACACGGACCAG
rnacentral:rRNA from 1 species